rnacentral:rRNA from 1 species
UACGAAGGGGGCUAGCGUUGCUCGGAAUUACUGGGCGUAAAGGGAGCGUAGGCGGAUAGUUCAGUCAGAGGUGAAAGCCCAGGGCUCAACCUUGGAACUGCCUUUGAUACUGGCUAUCUUGAGUUUGGGAGAGGUGUGUGGAACUCCGAGUGUAGAGGUGAAAUUCGUAGAUAUUCGGAAGAACACCAGUGGCGAAGGCGACACACUGGCCCAAUACUGACGCUGAGGCUCGAAAGCGUGGGGAGCAAACAGGG